GAGGUCUCAGUGAGUGACUGCUGGAAAAGGACAAGAGGAGAGCGGUUGAGUACCUGUGCCAGGCCCUGCCGUACCUGGAGAGCCCACAGGAGUCCGUGCGAGAGGCGGCCCUCAGGUUCACAGGUGAGCCACAAGGUCCCUCCCCGCCCCGCUGCAGCUCGGCCCCAGCCCCGGCUGCUGCAGCGGCAGCAGGAUGCGGCCCGGGGAUGUGC